CGCUGGCGGCGUGCCUAACACAUGCAAGUCGAACGAAGCGCUUUAUUUGAUUUUCUUCGGAGAUGAAGAUUUUGCGACUGAGUGGCGGACGGGUGAGUAACGCGUGGGUAACCUGCCUCAUACAGGGGGAUAACAGUUGGAAACGACUGCUAAUACCGCAUAAGCGCACAGUACCGCAUGGUACGGUGUGAAAAACUCCGGUGGUAUGAGAUGGACCCGCGUCUGAUUAGCCAGUUGGCGGGGUAACGGCCCACCAAAGCGACGAUCAGUAGCCGACCUGAGAGGGUGACCGGCCACAUUGGGACUGAGACACGGCCCAAACUCCUACGGGAGGCAGCAGUGGGGAAUAUUGCACAAUGGGGGAAACCCUGAUGCAGCGACGCCGCGUGAGCGAAGAAGUAUUUCGGUAUGUAAAGCUCUAUCAGCAGGGAAGAAAAAAUGACGGUACCUGACUAAGAAGCACCGGCUAAAUACGUGCCAGCAGCCGCGGUAAUACGUAUGGUGCAAGCGUUA
rnacentral:rRNA from 1 species